rnacentral:rRNA from 1 species
GGCGAACGGGUGCGUAACACGUGAGCAAUCUGCCUGAAAGUGGGGGAUAGCUCGCCGAAAGGCGAAUUAAUACCGCAUGUGUCCCGAAGUGAUUCGGGGUAAAGCCGGGGUAACUUGGCGUUUUCAGAGGAGCUCGCGGCCUAUCAGCUUGUUGGUAAGGUAAUGGCUUACCAAGGCUUCGACGGGUAGCUGGUCUGAGAGGACGACCAGCCACACUGGAACUGAGACACGGUCCAGACACCUACGGGUGGCAGCAGUCGAGAAUUUUUCUCAAUGGGGGAAACCCUGAAGGAGCGACGCCGCGUGGAGGAUGAAGGCUUUCGGGUUGUAAACUCCUGUCAUUUGGGAACAAAGCCUUACGUUAACUGCGUGGAGGUUUGAUAGUACCGAAAGAGGAAGAGACGGCUAACUCUGUGCCAGCAGCCGCGG